rnacentral:rRNA from 1 species
ACGUACACUCCUACGGGAGGCAGCAGUGGGGAAUAUUGCACAAUGGGCGCAAGCCUGAUGCAGCCAUGCCGCGUGUAUGAAGAAGGCCUUCGGGUUGUAAAGUACUUUCAGCGGGGAGGAAGGCGAUAAGGUUAAUAACCUUGUUGAUUGACGUUACCCGCAGAAGAAGCACCGGCUAACUCCGUGCCAGCAGCCGCGGUAAUACGGAGGGUGCAAGCGUUAAUCGGAAUUACUGGGCGUAAAGCGCACGCAGGCGGUCUGUCAAGUCGGAUGUGAAAUCCCCGGGCUCAACCUGGGAACUGCAUUCGAAACUGGCAGGCUAGAGUCUUGUAGAGGGGGGUAGAAUUCCAGGUGUAGCGGUGAAAUGCGUAGAGAUCUGGAGGAAUACCGGUGGCGAAGGCGGCCCCCUGGACAAAGACUGACGCUCAGGUGCGAAAGCGUGGGGAGCAAACAGGAUUAGAUACCCCGGUAGUCCCAUGAU